UACGUAGGCAGCAAGCGUUGUUCGGAGUUACUGGGCGUAAAGGGUGCGUAGGCGGUCCUGUAAGUAUGGUGUGAAAUCUCCCGGCUUAACUGGGAGGGUGCGCUAUAGACUGCGGGACUAGAGGGUGGGAGAGGAAAGUGGAAUUCCUGGUGUAGCGGUGAAAUGCGUAGAUAUCAGGAGAAACACCGGUGGUGUAAACGGCUUUCUGGACCAUUUCUGACGCUGAGGCACGAAAGCGUGGGUAGCAAACAGG
rnacentral:rRNA from 1 species